AACACUGAGAUGAUCUCUUUAACAUAAGAGCC
rnacentral:piRNA from 1 species